CCUACGGGUGGCAGCAGUGAGGAAUAUUGGUCAAUGGACGAGAGUCUGAACCAGCCAAGUAGCGUGAAGGAUGACUGCCCUAUGGGUUGUAAACUUCUUUUAUAUGGGAAUAAAAUGUUCCACGUGUGGGAUUUUGUAUGUACCAUAUGAAUAAGGAUCGGCUAACUCCGUGCCAGCAGCCGCGGUAAUACGGAGGAUCCGAGCGUUAUCCGGAUUUAUUGGGUUUAAAGGGAGCGUAGGUGGAUUGUUAAGUCAGUUGUGAAAGUUUGAGGCUCAACCGUAAAAGUGCAGUUGACACUGGCAGUCUUGAGUACAGUAGAGGUGGGCGGAAUGCGUGGUGUAGCGGUGAAAUGCUUAGAUAUCACGAAGAACUCCGAUUGCGAAUGCAGCUCACUGGACUGCAACUGACACUGAGGCUCGAAAGUGUGGGUAUCGAACAGGAUUAGAUACCCGUGUAGUC
rnacentral:rRNA from 1 species